CCUACGGGGGGCAGCAGUGGGGAAUAUUGGACAAUGGGCGAAAGCCUGAUCCAGCCAUGCCGCGUGUGUGAAGAAGGCCUUCGGGUUGUAAAGCACUUUCAGUGGGGAAGAAAGCCUUGGGGCUAAUACCCUCGAGGAAGGACAUCACCCACAGAAGAAGCACCGGCUAACUCCGUGCCAGCAGCCGCGGUAAUACGGAGGGUGCGAGCGUUAAUCGGAAUUACUGGGCGUAAAGCGCGCGUAGGCGGUCUGAUAAGCCGGUUGUGAAAGCCCCGGGCUCAACCUGGGAACGGCAUCCGGAACUGUCAGGCUAGAGUGCAGGAGAGGAAGGUAGAAUUCCCGGUGUAGCGGUGAAAUGCGUAGAGAUCGGGAGGAAUACCAGUGGCGAAGGCGGCCUUCUGGACUGACACUGACGCUGAGGUGCGAAAGCGUGGGUAGCAAACAGGAUUAGAUACCCGUAGUC
rnacentral:rRNA from 1 species